ACGGGUGCGGAACACGUACGCAACCUUCCUUCAAAUGGGGAAUAGCCUUUCGAAAGAGAGAUUAAUACCCCGUAACAUUUUCUGGUGGCAUCACUGGAUUAUUAUAGCUCCGGCGUUUGAAGAUGGGCGUGCGCCUGAUUAGGUAGUUGGCGGAGUAAUAGCCCACCAAGCCUACGAUCAGUAACUGGUGUGAGAGCACGACCAGUCACACGGGCACUGAGACACGGGCCCGACUCCUACGGGAGGCAGCAGUAAGGAAUAUUGGUCAAUGGACGCAAGUCUGAACCAGCCAUGCCGCGUGGAGGAUGAAGGUCCUCUGGAUUGUAAACUUCUUUUAUCGGAGAAGAAACCCUAGCAUUCUUGUUGGGUUGACGGUACCCGAUGAAUAAGCACCGGCUAACUCCGUGCCAGCAGCCGCGGUAAUACGGAGGGUGCAAGCGUUAUCCGGAUUCACUGGGUUUAAAGGGAGCGUAGGUGGGGUGGUAAGUCAGUGGUGAAAUCUCCGGGCUUAACUCGGAAACUGCCGUUGAUACUAUCAUUCUUGAAUAUUGUGGAGGUAAGCGGAAUAUGUCAUGUAGCGGUGA
rnacentral:rRNA from 1 species